rnacentral:rRNA from 1 species
GACGAACGCUGGCGGCGUGCUUAACACAUGCAAGUCGAACGGUAAGGCCCUUUCGGGGGUACACGAGUGCGAACGGGUGAGUAACACGUGGGUGAUCUGCCCUGCACUUUGGGAUAAGCCUGGGAAACUGGGUCUAAUACCGGAUAGGACUACGCGAUGCAUGUCGUGUGGUGGAAAGCUUUUGCGGUGUGGGAUGGGCCCGCGGCCUAUCAGCUUGUUGGUGGGGUGAUGGCCUACCAAGGCGACGACGGGUAGCCGGCCUGAGAGGGUGUCCGGCCACACUGGGACUGAGAUACGGCCCAGACUCCUACGGGAGGCAGCAGUGGGGAAUAUUGCACAAUGGGCGCAAGCCUGAUGCAGCGACGCCGCGUGGGGGAUGACGGCCUUCGGGUUGUAAACCCCUUUCAGCACAGACGAAGCGUAAGUGACGGUAUGUGCAGAAGAAGCACCGGCCAACUACGUG